UGGUUCUGGCAUCGAUGAAGAACGCAGCGAAAUGCGAUAAGUAAUGUGAAUUGCAGAAUUUUGUGAAUCAUCGAAUCUUCGAACGCACAUUGCGCCUUUUGGUAUUCCGAGAGGCAUGUCUGUUCGAGCGUCGUUUCAACCAUAUUGUAUCUCAUUUUUUGACGAAAAUGAGAUGUCAAUGUCUUGAGCACCUUUUUUGUCUUGCUACAAAAAAUGCUUCAAAGUAAAUGUCAGCGAUCUACUCAGAUUUAUAUUAAGCGCAUUAAAAGAAUUUUACCUACAAAUCCUUACGUUUAAACAAAAUGUGAAUCGUAGAGCAGCCAGAUGUUAAAAAUCACCAGUUCUUCUUGUGUAACAGCAAGAAAACUGUGAAACAAUCCAAAAAUCGACCUCGGAUCAGAUCAGACUACCCGCUGA
rnacentral:misc_RNA from 1 species